AACGAACGCUGGCGGCAUGCCUAACACAUGCAAGUCGAACGAGACCUUCGGGUCUAGUGGCGCACGGGUGCGUAACGCGUGGGAACCUGCCCUUAGGUUCGGAAUAACUCCCCGACAGGGGUGCUAAUACCGGAUAAUGUCUUCGGACCAAAGAUUUAUCGCCUUUGGAUGGGCCCGCGUUGGAUUCGCUAGUUGGUACGGUAAAAGCCUACCAAGGCGACGAUCCAUAGCUGGUCUGAGAGGAUGAUCAGCCACACUGGGACUGAGACACGGCCCAGACUCCUACGGGAGGCAGCAGUGGGGAAUAUUGGACAAUGGGCGAAAGCAUGAUCCAGCAAUGACGCGUGAGUGAUGAAGGCCUUAGGGUUGUAAAGCUCUUUUACCCGGGAUGAUAAUGACAGUACCGGGAGAAUAAGCCCCGGCUAACUCCGUG
rnacentral:rRNA from 1 species